rnacentral:lncRNA from 1 species
AGACGGUGUGAUAGUUUCUUGCGUUGGAAUGUCAGCCGAAGGAACGUCUUCGGCUCUGUCUUUAGCGGUUUCAGCCGAAGGGGUACUUUCGGCUUGUUGAAAUUUUCUUUUGGCCACUGAUUUGCGCCGUUUUGAGGACGGCGGAGGAGCAACCUGAACAACUUCGAUCGGUCUUUUGCCUGAAGUUGGGACCGAUGGAGAAACAGGAACUGACUGAAAAUAGAAACAAACAAUAGUGAUGAAUAAAGAAAAAGACGAUGAUUAAGAUGAGUAAGGAAGUGAUAUUUACAGAGGAAGGAGGCGAGGAUUCAGCAGCUUCUUCUGACUUUUCUUCAGAUACAGAUGUUUCAGCAGGACUAUCCGACCGGGUCUUGCUCGGAAAGGGGACUGCGAGUGAGAAGCAGAUAAGUAAAAUAAUGAAGAUUGAAGAGUAAAAGUUAAAUAAAAUAACAUACCAAUGGGAUGACGAGUUUUGUAAUGUGCAGCCGAAACAACGGGAGGAAAGGUUUCUCGGAGAAAAGAAUCCCAGUUAGCAUUGUAGCGGAAACCCAUUAUACCGGAUAAAUUCGGUUUAAAACUAGUCAAUUUGAAAAAUCGCCGGAGACGAUUUCCCAUGGCUGAAAUCCGAUCGGCGUCGGCCGUGCUUUUGGUAGGCGGGCGAUGAACGGCAGUAUUUGCCGUAAAAAAUUUUGCCGGAGCAGGAACUGCUUGGGUAAAUCCAAAUUGACG